GACGAACGCUGGCGGCGUGCUUAACACAUGCAAGUCGAACGGAAAGGCCCUGCUUUUGUGGGGUGCUCGAGUGGCGAACGGGUGAGUAACACGUGAGUAACCUGCCCUUUACUUUGGGAUAACUUCAGGAAACUGGGGCUAAUACCGGAUAGGAGCUCCUGCUGCAUGGUGGGGGUUGGAAAGUUUCGGCGGUUGGGGAUGGACUCGCGGCUUAUCAGCUUGUUGGUGGGGUAGUGGCUUACCAAGGCUUUGACGGGUACCCGGCCUGAGAGGGUGACCGGCCACAUGGGGCCUGAGAUACGGCCCAGAAUCCUACGGGAGGCAGAAGGGGGGAAUAUUGAACAAUGGGCGGAAGCCUGAUGCAGCAACGCCGCGUGCGGGAUGACGGCCUUCGAGUUGUAAACCGCUUUCGCCUGUGACGAAGCGUGAGUGACGGUAAUGGGUAAAGAAGCACCGGCUAACUACGUG
rnacentral:rRNA from 1 species